AAAUGGAAGAACUUUUAGCGGCUU
rnacentral:miRNA from 1 species